GACGAACGCUGGCGGCGUGCUUAACACAUGCAAGUCGAACGGAAAGGCCCUGCUUUUGUGGGGUGCUCGAGUGGCGAACGGGUGAGUAACACGUGAGUAACCUGCCCUUGACUUUGGGAUAACUUCAGGAAACUGGGGCUAAUACCGGAUAGGAGCUCCUGCUGCAUGGUGGGGGUUGGAAAGUUUCGGCGGUUGGGGAUGGACUCGCGGCUUAGCAGCUUGUUGGUGGGGUAGUGGCUUACCAAGGCUUUGACGGGUAGCCGGCCUGAGAGGGUGACCGGCCACAUUGGGACUGAGAUACGGCCCAGACUCCUACGGGAGGCAGCAGUGGGGAAUAUUGCACAAUGGGCGGAAGCCUGAUGCAGCAACGCCGCGUGCGGGAUGACGGCCUUCGGGUUGUAAACCGCUUUCGCCUGUGACGAAGCGUGAGUGACGGUAAUGGGUAAAGAAGCACCGGCUAACUACGUG
rnacentral:rRNA from 1 species